AGAAGAUACUGUUUCUAUACUUAAUAUUGAAUUCUCGUCUCAAGCUGUAAGGAAUAGCAUUUUACAUGUUUUUAAGAAAACACUUUUCUGUUCUGAAAAGAACAGAAUAUUCAAUUUCAACACCAUUCACAAGCGUCUUGAAAUACUGCUACUAUUUAUGCCUUUUGUUCCCCGUAGUGAAUUUAUAAUCGACGGAGCCAAC
rnacentral:lncRNA from 1 species